UAUAACUCUGUGCCUCUGCACUUGGUAGCUGUCUCCCCUCCUCUGUCUCUUUCACUCCUUUUAAUAACAUUUUUAAUUAAAUUAAAAAAUAAAAAAGAACAAAUAUGUGAAAGCAAGCGCCAUUACAGAGAUAGAACCCUCUGAGCGGCAAACUCUGAAAGUCUUCUUCUCUCACGCUCGUCUCCUUGGUGACUUGGUCCCAUGGAGGCUGACAACGAAAGAUUUUCCAUGAGAGAGUACACGCGUAACGUUAGGAGUGUUGAUAUCCGGAAAUGCUGUCCCUUCCCCGGUGAGUUCACCGGAGAAUUUAUUCAGUCGCUACUUCCUCCGUUAACUGUAUCCAAGUUCCGUUGGUGGUCUCAUGAGUUAAUCUCGCUGCUAACUAAAUCUCCGGAUGAUCCCAAACCGGCAUUUCGACACACGGCCAAUGCAGAGUCUUCUAGACAGUGUAAGAAACGGUCCAUCGGUGAAACGACGACGAAUGAUCAUCUUGUGUUGCAUAAGAAGAAUAUUAAAACCAAGAAGCUAGAGGAUUACAAGGUUUAUAACUGCGAAGAGCAAGCUCGAGAAAGAGCUAAAGGUGAUGGGGGAUGCAGUCUUGGGAUCAAAGAAAGACCUGGUGUUAUGUCUCCUAGUAUUAACAAGGUUGGAGUGCGAUGCUUAUCUUACACAGAGGAAGAACUGUUUCCAGAUUCUCCCAGAUUAGUCAGUCAAGAUUGUGAUUCUGAGUUUCAGACUCCUAGAACUUUGAAGGUAGCUAAAAGGAAAAUUUGCUCGGUGAGGAGUCUUGAUAAGUCGGGUAUUGAUGCUCCUCAGUGCGAGAGGCAAGUCAGAUUCUCUUUACAACUCUGCUGCUCGCAGAUGAAUCGGUUAAGCCUAUGUUCUGCGGCAGAGGAUCAACCUCCUAAGGUUUUGUCAAACGAUAAGACCAGUGAAGAUAUGCUGGUAGAAUCCAGGAAACUUGAUCAUGCUCGAGCAAAAUCUGGCCUGUCGUGUUUACCUGGACCACAUCUCUCACUGGAAAGAAUUAAAGAUGCAUUGGAUUUGGAGAGAAAGAGGCGUGUGGCUCAACCUAACCAAUCAUCUAUCUCUAUUUUGAGUGAGAUCCAUUACAGAAGUUGUUCGUCUUCCUUCUCUCAACCUGUAUCAUUGCUGAACCAAUCACCUUUUGAUCCACUUCUUGUAGAAGAGGCCAUCUUAGACUUACCUCUUAAUUUACAAGGUGAAUUGGUUGAAGCAAAUUGUUCCUCUAGAUCUGCAGCUGUGGAAAAUGAUGUUUUACAGAGUAAUUUAGUGGACUUAUCCAGUGGAAGGAAACAUUCAGCUGAGCCAGAACUUGCCAUAGAUGUAGGAAGGCCCCCUGUGUAUAAUGAGAAACAAUAUAAGUACUAUCCAGCUAGGCUAGGCCUUGAUGAGACCUUCACCGAGAAUGCGUUUUUCAUUUCAGACACUAAUGAUGGAGAGUGUAGCCACACAAUCAAUCUGCCAAAGCAGGAAGCUCUGUGUCAGAAGUUAGGUAGCAGGGAUAUGGUUGCAACGCCUGAUGGUUUGUGUUUAUAUAACACUCAGUCAACAAUGCGGCUGAUGGGUAAGGAUGUUUCUCUUGGCACAAGUUACUCAGAUAUGGUUACAAGGGGCGAGAGGAUCAUACCAUCAGAUCCUUCUAUAGAUUAUUCCUUUCUGGGGAGCUAUGCUCACCAGAGCUGGUUAUGGCGAACGACAACACUUGGAGAAAAUCACACAACCACCUCACUAGAUAAGUCUUGGAACACAACUUUGUUGUGUGAUACUUCAAAGGAUCACUUUCCUAUGUUUUGUGAACCACCCCAAGUCAGAACAUAUGUUGUUCCUGAUUCAGAAUUGCCUCCCACAGUCAUGUAUCCUUGUGGCUCACUCGUGUCUUGUCCACUGACUGAUAAGGAUCUCUACUUCCAUGAAUCUGGUUUAGGACAGCAGCUAAACAGUGUCACAUUCAGCCACGAACAACUACCUUUUCUACCCGAAAUUGGUGGUCUGCCUUCUGCUUACAGAAAUAAUGGUGUUGUUGGUCUCUUACCUGAUGUUAGAGAACCAUCUUUCGGUUUUCCUUUUACUUCUACUACACAAUCACAGCUUCAUUGGCCACAAAGUUCCUUUGAGAGCUCUCGUUUUGAUACGUCUUCUAUCAAUCCAUCUGAACUCAAUUAGUGUCCUUAUAUGGGUCCAAGUCAUCAUCUUCUUACAUAAAGGUUGGGAAAAGCUCAACUAGUGUCUCGUUUUGAUAUGUAGCUAGGCUUGUCUACUGUGAUGUUGAUUGUAUAUUGUUGGGGACUUUGAUGUUAACAGUCUUUUACAUUUCAUCGACCAUAACUAUCAAUCCAUUGAUCGAAACACA